GCCGCCUUCGUCUAGUGGUUAGGACACCACGUUGUGGCCGUGGCAACCUCGGUUCGAUUCCGAGAGGCGGCA
rfam:Ramazzottius varieornatus DNA, contig: Scaffold001, strain: YOKOZTNA-1.